rnacentral:rRNA from 1 species
AGUUGGCAGGGUAACGGCCUACCAAGGCGCCGAUCCAUAGCCGGCCUGAGAGGGUGGACGGCCACAUUGGGACUGAGACACGGCCCAGACUCGUACGGGAGGCAGCAGUGGGGAAUAUUGCACAAUGGGGGAAACCCUGAUGCAGCGACGCCGCGUGAGCGAAGAAGUAUUUCGGUAUGUAAAGCUCUAUCAGCAGGGAAGAAAAUGACGGUACCUGACUAAGAAGCCCCGGCUAACUACGUGCCAGCAGCCGCGGUAAUACGUAGGGGGCAAGCGUUAUCCGGAUUUACUGGGUGUAAAGGGAGCGUAGACGGAAUGGCAAGUCUGAUGUGAAAGGCCGGGGCUCAACCCCGGGACUGCAUUGGAAACUGUCAAUCUAGAGUACCGGAGGGGUAAGUGGAAUUCCUAGUGUAGCGGUGAAAUGCGUAGAUAUUAGGAGGAACACCAGUGGCGAAGGCGGCUUACUGGACGGUAACUGACGUUGAGGCUCGAAAGCGUGGGGAGCAAACAGGAUUAGAUACCCUGGUAGUCCACGCCGUAAACGAUGGAAUAAUUAAGUGGUGGGGAGCAAAGCUCUUUCGUUGCCGCAGCAAACGCCAAUAAGUAUUCCACCUGGGGAGUACGUUCGCAAGAAAGAAACUCAAAGGAAUUGACGGGGACCCGCACAAGCGGUGGAGCAUGUGGUUUAAUUUGAAGCAACGCGAAGAACCUUACCAAAUCUUGACAUCGAUCUGACCGGACCGUAAUGGGUCCUUUCCCUUCGGGGACAGAGAAGACAGGUGGUGCAUGGUUGUCGUCAGCUCGUGUCGUGAGAUGUUGGGUUAAGUCCCGCAACGAGCGCAACCCUUAUCCUCAGUAGCCAGCAAGUGAAGUUGGGCACUCUGUGGAGACUGCCAGGGAUAACCUGGAGGAAGGUGGGGAUGACGUCAAAUCAUCAUGCCCCUUAUGAUUUGGGCUACACACGUGCUACAAUGGCGUAAACAAAGGGAAGCGAUCACGCGAGUGUGAGCAAAUCUCAAAAAUAACGUCUCAGUUCGGAUUGUAGUCUGCAACUCGACUACAUGAAGCUGGAAUCGCUAGUAAUCGCAGGUCAGCAUACUGCGGUGAAUACGUUCCCGGGUCUUGCACA